UAGGGAAUAUUAGUAAUGGGCGAAAGCCUGAACUAGCAACGCCGCGUGUGCGAAGAAGGCCUUCGGGUUGUAAAGCACUUUUUGAGAGGAUGAGGAAGGACGGUACUCUCAGAAUAAGUCUCGGCUAACUACGUGCCAGCAGCCGCGGUAACACGUCGGAGGCGAACGUUAUCCGGAUUUACUGGGCGUAAAGCGCGUGUAGGUGGUUUGGUAAGUAGGGCGUGAAAGCUCCUGGCUCAACUGGGAGAGGCCGUUCUAAACUGGCGAACUAGAGGAUGGUAGAGGGAGGUGGAAUUACGGGUGUAGCGGUGGAAUGCGCAGAUAUCCGGAGGAACACCAGUGGCGAAAGCGGCCUCCUGGACCAUUCCUGACACUCAGACGCGAAAGCUAGGGUAGCAAACGG
rnacentral:rRNA from 1 species